GUCACAGUGGACGAGACGGCGAUAAACACAAUAAUAGGACGUUGACCAAGAUGUUUAGAUUGGAGAGUGAUCAAGAGGGUGUAUAAUAUAAAUUCUAAUUUUCUGGAGUAUCUUCGACCAAGUUUCCACUGGUGUUUCUACUGAUUCUGGUUCCUUCGGAACAUCCUUCUUCUUAAACAAAAAGGCAUCAAGUUUCUUCAUAGCAAAUUUUUUUGGUUGGGGCUCUUCCUGUUUCCCUAAAGCUCCGCGUUUCUUGCCCGCAGAUCAGCCAAUUUCAUCCCAGGAAAUUCUGCCUGUAGGUUGGACUUGUUAUUUUCAAACCAUUUUUUGAAUCCAUCUACAGCGCUUCCAUUCUCUUUUGCUUUGGCUUCCUCUACAACUUUAGGACUUUCCAGAGCAACACUGUUUGUAUCUAGUGAGGUUCGAGAUUGCUCUGAAAAAUCAGACAUAUGCUUCGAACUGACAUCGGAAGAAUCCAUUUGCAAGCUGUCUGGGGUGGCCGAGCGAGAAAACUGGACAAAAAAAAUCAAGUGUUAAUAAAAUAUAAGCUAAGUAAGACCAAAAGGCUUAAUUUACUUCUGCAUCUUCUUCAAUGAAUGAGUUUUUGCUCAGCAAAGUCUCGCUCAGAGGUGGUUUAGGUGCAUUUUUCUUGAAAGGGUUGCCUCCGUUUUGAGUCGGAGUGCUGAACAUCUCAAAACUUCUCUGCGAAGACAAAGCUCGUUUCAAUUUGCUCACUGAAAUUUGAAAUAAGUAACAAUGCAAAGUUUUUCCUAGUAAAAUACUUUUCAUUGGUUCGAUGGUCUCUUUGCCACUACCAAAUGAUUCAGUGCUGUUAAUCCUACUGAGGAUUUUGUACCUUGGCUCAAUUUCUUGUGAUUCCUCAACUCUAUAAACCAGAGAAAUUAAAAUUAGUAUAAAAAUUAUUUAUUUAAUGUUUACAUUUCAGGCUCUUCCUCUGAUUCCGGUUGAUCCACAAAGUCUUCUAGUCUCUCAAGUAAUCUACUUUUGUUUUUGCUGUGGGCAUAUUGCCUGGCUUUGACUCUCCACUCUGCAGCCGUCAUCAAUUUGUAAAUGUCAUAAGCUCUGGUAUCCAUAUCAGCAAUACAAGCCAUCUGAAUUGGAAAAAAAUUAUUAUUUAAAAUGGAAUAAAACCUAAAAAAUCAACAUACAGCAAAUAUUUUGAGCAAAGUGGUGUUGAAAGACUUGACGUUGCUGAGAACAGCAUAGUCGUCGUCCUUUGGCAUUCCUGUGCUGGGAUCAAUACAUUUUGAUGAGUAAGCUGCCCUUUUGGUCCGAACAUAGUCUUCCUCGAGUUUGCCUUUGGCCGAAUCACUGUC